rnacentral:rRNA from 1 species
GAUGAACGCUAGCGGCAGGCUUAACACAUGCAAGUCGAGGGGUAGAAGCAGCUUGCUGCUUUGAGACCGGCGCACGGGUGCGUAACGCGUAUACAAUCUACCUUUUACAGAGGGAUAGCCCAGAGAAAUCUGGAUUAAUACCUCAUAGUAUUUUCGAAUCGCAUGGUUUGAUUAUUAAAGUUCCAACGGUAAAAGAUGAGUAUGCGUCCCAUUAGCUAGAUGGUAAGGUAACGGCUUACCAUGGCGACGAUGGGUAGGGGUCCUGAGAGGGAGAUCCCCCACACUGGUACUGAGAUACGGUCCAGACUCCUACGGGAGGCAGCAGUGGGGAAUAUUGCACAAUGGGCGCAAGCCUGAUGCAGCAACGCCGCGUGAGGGAUGAAGGCCUCGGUUGUAACUCUUUAGUCNGGAGAAGCGAAGUAGAC